rnacentral:rRNA from 1 species
GUGUCAGCAGCCGCGGUAAUACAGAGGUCUCGAGCGUUAAUCGGAGUUACUGGGCUUAAAGGGUGCGUAGGCGGCGCUGUAAGUGCCUUGUGAAAUCCCAUGGCUUAACCAUGGAAUUGCUCGGCAGACUGCAGUGCUUGAGGUCGGUAGGGGUCGCUGGAACUCUAGGUGGAGCGGUGAAAUGCGUAGAUAUCUAGAGGAACGCCAAAGGUGUAGACAGGCGACUGGGCCGAUUCUGACGCUGAGGCACGAAAGCGUGGGUAGCGAACGGGAUUAGAUACCCUAGUAGUCC